CUUGUACUCCCUCCGUCCGGAAAUACUUGUCAUUGAAAUGGAUGUAUCUAGAUGUAUUUUAGUUCUAGACACAUCCAUUUUGAUGACAAGUAAUUACGGACGGAGGGAGUACUUG
rnacentral:pre_miRNA from 1 species